rnacentral:rRNA from 1 species
GCAUAUCAAUAAGCGGAGGAAAAGAAACCCAACAGGGGAUUGCCCUCAGUAACGGCGAGUGAAGCGGCAACAGCUCAAAUUUGAAACCUGCCUCCCGGCCGGAUUGUAAUUUGCAGAGGAUGCUUUGGGAAGGGCACUGAUCUAAGUUUCUUGGAACAGAACGUCACAGAGGGUGAGAAUCCCGUCCGUGGUCGGCCGCCUGCCCCGUGUAAAGCUCCUUCAACGAGUCGAGUUGUUUGGGAAUGCAGCUCUAAAUGGGUGGUAAAUUUCAUCUAAAGCUAAAUAUUGGCCAGAGACCGAUAGCGCACAAGUAGAGUGAUCGAAAGAUGAAAAGCACUUUGGAAAGAGAGUUAAACAGCACGUGAAAUUGUUGAAAGGGAAGCGCUUGCAACCAGACUUGCGCGCAGGUACUCAGGAGCGGUUCGCCGUUCUGUAUUUGCCUGCGUGCAGGCCAGCAUCAGUUUUGGGGGUGGGAUAAAGGCCGUUGGAAUGUAGCUCCUCGGAGUGUUAUAGCCUUCGGUGCCAUGCCACCUCCCGGGACUGAGGACCGCGCUUCGGCUAGGAUGCUGGCGUAAUGGUUGUAAGCGACCCGUCUUGAAACACGGCCCAAGGAGUCUAACAUCUAUGCGAGUGUUUGGGUGUCAACCCCACACGCGGAAUGAAAGUGAACGGAGGUGAGAGCCCUUAAGGGUGCAUCAUCGACCGAUCCUGAUGUCUUCGGAUGGAUUUGAGUAUGAGCAUAGCUGUUGGGACCCGAAAGAUGGUGAACUAUGCCUGAAUAGGGUGAAGCCAGAGGAAACUCUGGUGGAGGCUCGCAGCGGUUCUGACGUGCAAAUCGAUCGUCAAAUUUGGGUAUAGGGCGAAAGAC